rnacentral:rRNA from 1 species
AGCGAACGCUGGCGGCGUGGAUUAGACAUGCAAGUCGAGCGAUCCUUUUCCUUUUCCGGCAUUAGUCGGAGAAGGAAGGGAUAGCGGCGAACGGGUGAGUAACGCGUGGGUAACCUGCCUCCAAGACGGGGAUAACACCGCGAAAGCGGUGCUAAUACCCGAUAAUUCCUUCCGACGCAUGUCGUGAAGGACAAAGGGUUUCCCGAAGGUAACUUCGGGAUUCCGCUUGGAGAUGGGCCCGCGUCCCAUCAGCUAGUUGGUGAGGUAAUGGCUCACCAAGGCGAUGACGGGUAGCUGGUCUGAGAGGACGGCCAGCCACACGGGGACUGAGACACGGCCCCGACUCCUACGGGAGGCAGCAGUCGAGAAUCUUCCCCAAUGGGCGAAAGCCUGAGGGAGCGACGCCGCGUGGGGGAUGAAGGCCUUCGGGUCGUAAACCCCUGUCAGGGGGGAUGAAUCCUCCGAUGAAAUCGGGGGUGACAGUACCCCCAGAGGAAGCCACGGCUAACUCCGUGCUAGCAGCCGCGGUAAUACGGAGGUGGCAAGCGUUGCUCGGAAUUACUGGGCGUAAAGGGUGCGUAGGCGGCCAUGUAAGUCAUUCGUGAAAUCCCUCUGCUCAACGGAGGAAUUGCGAAUGAAACUGCAUGGCUUGAGGCCGGGAGAGGGAGGUGGAAUUCCCGGUGUAGCGGUGAAAUGCGUGGAUAUCGGGAGGAACACCAGUGGCGAAGGCGGCCUCCUGGACCGGUCCUGACGCUGAGGCACGAAAGCUGGGGGAGCAAACAGGAUUAGAUACCCUGGUAGUCCCAGCCGUAAACGAUGGGCACUAGGUGUCCCUGACACAUUGUCGGGGGUGCCGUAGCUAACGCGUUAAGUGCCCCGCCUGGGGACUACGGCCGCAAGGCUGAAACUCAAAGGAAUUGACGG